CCAAGUCACAGAGCUCAUAAGUGAAGAAGUCAGGAUUUUCUUUUUUUGUCCCACUGUGGUUUCUUUUCUUUUUUUUUUCCCAGAGUGUGAAAGUGAAAGUGUUAGUUGCUCAGUCGUGUCUAACUUUUUGCGACCCCAUGGACUAUACCUCUGUCCGUGGGAUUCUCCAGGCAAUAAUACUGGAGUGGGUUGCCAUUCCCUUCUCCAGGGGAUCUUCCCCACCCAGGGAUUGAAUCCCUGGUAUCCUGCAUUGCAGGCAGAUUCUUUACCAUCAGAGCCACAUGGGCCUCUUAUUGGAGUAUAGGUGAUUUAAAAUGCUGCAUUUGUUCCACAGUUGAACUGUGGUGAUGGCUGCUGCUACUGCUGCUAAGUCGCUUCAGUCGUGUCCGACUCUGUGCGACCCCAUAGACGGCAGCCCACCAGGCUCCUCCGUCCCUGGGAUUCUCCAGGCAAGAACACUGGAAUGGUGAUGGCUACCUUUAGUCAAAAUUCAUAGAAACAGACAAAAGAGAGAGUCCAGAGUGACGUGAACUCCACGUGGAUUUGCUCAGAGGUGACCAGGUCUGGCUCCUCCUGCGAAGCCCAGACCCCGGGCUCUGGAACAGACAGGAGGCGCUCUGGCCAGCUCUGGUUUCCCAGCAAGCACUCACUUAGUGCUGAAGGCUCGAGCUGCUGUAACAAGAAUUCCACAGGCUGGGAGGCUCACAGAAGAGAUGUUUAAGAAGGCUGGGAACCCAAGGUCAAGGUGCUGUCCUCGAGGCUUGCAGACCUCCGCCCCCCUGCUGUGUGCUCACGUGGCAGAAGCAGACCGAGGUCACUUCCUGGUGUCUCUUCUUUUAAAGGCACAAACCCCACUCACAGGGGCCCCACCCUCCUGAGCUUAUUCCCUCUGAAGGCCCCAAGUUGCACUGGGGGUUGGGGCAUUAACAUAUGGACUUGGGGAACACAGGCUUUCAGUCCACAGCAGAACGCCGGCACCACAUGCACACGAGUCAAAAACUAAGAUGAAAUAGUAUAUCCCCAACUCCUCAUCAACAGCCAGCGACAAGGAAAGUGCAUCCGCAAGUUUGCUUCGGAUGCUGUCAAAUCAGAAUGCUUUCCAAUGGUGCCUGAGAUGUGAAGAGUAUCAGCCAUCUUUGGCUGAAUAUAUUUGUGUAUGCGUCUUAAACUUGAUUCCUGACCAACUAACAAUAAUUAACCCUCUUACCUUUUAGCUUCUGUAUUUUGAUUCUUUAAAAUGUCAACUUGAAUGUUGUAUAGCUCUGUGGUACAGGAAAUACGCUACUUUAAAUAUAUCCUUACAUAUUUAAGUCAACACAAAGUCUGUUAUAUCUGAUUCUGAAUUACGAGGUUUCUGUCUAAAUUCAGUGGUGGAGAACACUGAUGCUGUUGUUCAGCCGCUCAGUCGUGUCUGUCUCUUUGUGACCCCAUGGACUGCAGCACACCAGGCUUUCCUGUCCUUCACCAUUUCCCGGAGUUUGCUCAGAUUCAUCUUCACGGAGUCAACGAUGGCAUUCAAAGAGAGCUAGCUUCAUAAAAAUGUUUUAGGACGAGAUGGAAAUGUUUUGGUUCUGUGUUUCAAGAAAGAAAAGUAAUGAGUGUCUGGGAUCAUUAAACUCUUUAAUAAAAAGUUCCUCCACUGGAAACAGUAUUAUUGUCAUUUUAACUAGUGAAAACAUCUUUAAAGCCAAUAAAACGCUACAUAGGUUUGGAAAAAAUGA
ensembl:lncRNA